GACAGAGGUGCCGAGCGUUAGGCGGAAUCACUGGGCUUAAAGCGUGUGUAGGCGGACUUCUAAGUACCUUGUGAAAUCCCACGGCUCAACCGUGGAACUGCUUGGUAUACUGGUUGUCUUGAGCCACUUAGGGGCAGUCGGAACAGACGGUGGAGCGGUGAAAUGCGUAGAUAUCGUCUGGAACGCCAAUGGUGAAAACAGCUCGCUGGGGGUUUGCUGACGCUGAGACACGAAAGCCAGGGGAGCAAACGGG
rnacentral:rRNA from 1 species